AAAUCAAACCAAACCAAAACAUUAAAACAACUUAAUCGAAUCAUACUAAAAUAAAAUUGGUUUGAUUUGGUUUAAACAAAAAUAAACCGAACCCAUUCUCCAUUCCCAGCAUUCACACCUAACAUUCAAAUUACAAUGCCAAUGCUACAACCCAAAACCCAGAAAAAAUUCAACAUACUCAUCUCAAUAUUCUCCAUAAAAAAUUCAAAUCAAAACCUAGAAAAUUGCUUCCAUGUCCUAUGACUCGACACACUUACCUCACAAAACACAGUAUGUGAAUGAAGUAAAAUAAGAUGAACAAAGAAAUGAAGAAAUCUUAGGCUAUAAUUUUGUUUGUUGCUUAUUAAUAUCUCAAGAUCUUCCACUACUUUCUUCAUUGUUGGUCUUUGUUCAUAGUUGAAGAUGCCAUUGAAGCUGGCUUUCUUUAUUGUGGGUCUUGGAGUUUCACUUGAAGCCUUGAAGGAGUUUAGUUUUAUAUAUAUAUAGAGAGAGAGAG
rnacentral:misc_RNA from 1 species